rfam:Triticum aestivum genome assembly, contig: Triticum_aestivum_CS42_TGACv1_scaffold_658592_T_3AS-0.233563_2AS-0.132464
UUUAUACUUCCUUCGUUUCGAAUUACUUGUCUUAGAUUUGUCUAGAUAUGGAAAUAUCUAGCACUAAAAUGAGUCUAGAUACAUCCGUAUCUAGAUAAAUCAAAGACAAGUAAUUCGAAACGGAGGGAGUAGUUG